rnacentral:rRNA from 1 species
UACAGAGGUGGCAAGCGUUGUUCGGAAUUACUGGGCGUAAAGGGCGCGUAGGCGGCUUGGUCAGUCCCGUGUGAAAUCCCUCGGCUCAACUGAGGAACUGCACGGGAAACUGCCUGGCUUGAGUUCGGGAGAGGGAAGCGGAAUUCCGGGUGUAGCGGUGAAAUGCGUAGAUAUCCGGAGGAACACCGGUGGCGAAGGCGGCUUCCUGGACCGACACUGACGCUGAGGCGCGAAGGCCAGGGGAGCAAACGGG